CCUGGUGGCUUUGGCGGGGAGCCUACACCCGAUCCCAUCCCGAACUCGGCCGUGAAAAUCCCCAGCGCCCAUGGUACUGUGUCGAGAGUAGGUCGCCGCCAGGU
rnacentral:rRNA from 1 species